rnacentral:rRNA from 1 species
GAUCAAGUACCGAAGUGCACACGGUGGAUGCCUUGGCAAUCAGAGGCGAUGAAGGACGUUGUAGCCUGCGAUAAGCGUGGGGGAGCUGGCAAACAAGCUUUGAUCCCGCGAUGUCCGAAUGGGGAAACCCAGUCGAAAGACUAUCCUGCACUGAAUACAUAGGUGUAGGAGGCAAACCCGGAGAACUGAAACAUCUAAGUACCCGGAGGAAAAGAAAUCAACCGAGAUUCCCUUAGUAGCGGCGAGCGAACGGGGAUUAGCCCUUAAGUAACUUGUGUCUUAGUAGAACAGUCUGGAAAGGCUGGCCGUAGUAGGUGAUAGCCCUGUAUACGAAAAGGCACUUGUUGUGAAAUCGAGUAGGUCGGGACACGUGACAUCUUGACUGAAUAUGGGGGGACCAUCCUCCAAGGCUAAAUACUCCUGAUUGACCGAUAGUGAACCAGUACCGUGAGGGAAAGGCGAAAAGAACCCCUGUGAGGGGAGUGAAAUAGAUCCUGAAACCGUGUGCAUACAAGCAGUGGGAGCCGUAAGGUGACUGCGUACCUUUUGUAUAAUGGGUCAGCGACUUACUUUCAGUAGCAAGGUUAACCGUUUAGGGGAGCCGUAGAGAAAUCGAGUCUUAAAUGGGCGAAUAGUUGCUGGGAGUAGACCCGAAACCGAGCGAUCUAUCCAUGGCCAGGGUGAAGGUUAGGUAACACUGACUGGAGGCCCGAACCCACAUCUGUUGAAAAAGAUGGGGAUGAGCUGUGGAUCGGAGUGAAAGGCUAAUCAAGCUCGGAGAUAGCUGGUUCUCCUCGAAAGCUAUUUAGGUAGCGCCUCAUGUAUCACCCUCGGGGGUAGAGCACUGUUUCGGCUAGGGGGUCAUCCCGACUUACCAAACCGAUGCAAACUCCGAAUACCGAGGAGUGCGAUCAUGGGAGACACACGGCGGGUGCUAACGUCCGUCGUGGAAAGGGAAACAACCCAGACCGCCAGCUAAGGUCCCCAAAUCUAGAUUAAGUGGGAAACGAUGUGGGAAGGCACAGACAGCUAGGAGGUUGGCUUAGAAGCAGCCACCCUUUAAAGAAAGCGUAAUAGCUCACUAGUCGAGUCGGCCUGCGCGGAAGAUGUAACGGGGCUAAAUCUAGUACCGAAGCUGCGGAUCUCGUAAGAGAUGGUAGAGGAGCGUUCUGUAAGUCUGUGAAGGUGAAUCGAGAGGUUUGCUGGAGAUAUCAGAAGUGCGAAUGCUGACAUGAGUAACGAUAAAGGGGGUGAAAAACCCCCUCGCUGAAAGACCAAGGGUUCCUGUCCAACGUUAAUCGGGGCAGGGUGAGUCGACCCCUAAGGCGAGGCCGAAAGGCGUA